CACGUAGGGUGCGAGCGUUGUCCGGAUUUAUUGGGCGUAAAGAGCGUGUAGGCGGCCAGGUAGGUCUGGUGUGAAAACUCGAGGCUUAACCUCGAGAUGUCAUCGGAAACCAUCUGGCUAGAGUCCGGAAGAGGAGAGUGGAAUUCCUGGUGUAGCGGUGAAAUGCGCAGAUAUCAGGAAGAACACCAAUGGCGAAAGCAGCUCUCUGGGACGGUACUGACACUGAGAGACGAAAGCUAGGGGAGCAAAUGGG
rnacentral:rRNA from 1 species